GUCCCUGUAGUUCAAUGGGUAGCACGUUGAACUUCUAAUCCAAAGGUGUUGUGGGUUUGAAACCCACCUGGGAUA